ACUUUUCUAAAUUAAAACCUAAACUUAAUCAGAUUUAUACUGGAUAAGUUUUCUCAUUGUAUUCAAAAACAAAUCGGCCAUGUCAGUUGUGUUAUUUGCGCGUUUUUUGGUCCCCGGAUAAUCUACAAAAAAAAACGGAAUGUUCCUGCCAGCUUCAAACCCAUUAACGGAUUGACGAAACUUCAAUGGAAUCUCUGCAUCGAAAUCGUAUUUGUGCAUGAUCCGGCCUGUUCCGGCAAUUUAAUCCCGCAAACCAGGAUGUGGAAAGUGUGCAACCGGCGGAUCGUGCUGAAGUGUGACAAUCUGUUCAGCAUAGUGGAAGAUUUUUGGAACCGUGCGAGUACUAUUUCCACCGACUGUUGGUACUGUUUGCCCGUCAAGUGCCAGAAUCUUAUUCUGGAUGGAAGUACAAGUUCAUUACUCGGAGCACGAUUGGAUGAUAGUGAUGAACCAGUAAGAUCGAUUUGAAUUUGUGCUGUUGGCCAUCUCCAAGCAUCUGUGUUGUUUUAAAUACGAAUGAAUAAAUUAUUGGUCGUAAUCUUUAA